GCCUGGCUGUUUCAGUUGGUAGAAAAUGUGACUCCUGAUCUCAGCGUUGUGAGUUCAAGCCCCAUGUUGGGUG
rnacentral:tRNA from 1 species